rnacentral:piRNA from 1 species
UGCACCGCUGUAACUUUUACUCUCUUCUUGAC